rnacentral:rRNA from 1 species
GACGAACGCUGGCGGCGUGCUUAACACAUGCAAGUCGAACGGAAAGGCCCUGCGUUUGUGGGGUGCUCGAGUGCCGGACGGGUGAGUAACACGUGUGUAACCUGCCCUUGACUUUGGGGUAACUUAAGGAAACUGGGGCUAAUAUCGGAUAGGAUCUCCUGCUGCAUGGUGGGGGUGGGAAAGUUUCGGCGGUUGGGGUUGGACUCGCGGCUUAUCAGCUUGUUGGUGGGGUAGUGGCUGACCAAGGCUUUGAGGGGUAGCCGGCCUGAGAGGGUGACAGGCCACAUAGGGACCGAGAUACGGCCCAGACGCCUACGGGAGGAAGAAGUGGGGAAUAUUGCACAAUGGGCGGAAGCCGGAUGCAGCAGCGCCGCGUGCUGGAUGACGGCCUUCGGGUUGGAAACCGCUUUCGCCUGUGAAGAAGGGUGAGUGACGGGAAUGGGUAAAGAAGGACCGGGUAACUACGGG